rnacentral:rRNA from 1 species
GGUCCAGACUCCUACGGGAGGCAGCAGUCGGGAAUAUUGCGCAAUGGAGGAAACUCUGACGCAGUGACGCCGCGUGCAGGAAGAAGGUUUUCGGAUUGUAAACUGCUUUAGACAGGGAAGAUACAAGACAGUACCUGUAAAAUAAGCUCCGGCUAACUACGUGCCAGCAGCCGCGGUAAUACGUAGGGAGCAAGCGUUAUCCGGAUUUAUUGGGUGUAAAGGGUGCGUAGACGGGAAGGCAAGUUGGUUGUGAAAUCCCUCGGCUUAACUGAGGAACUGCAACCAAAACUAUCUUUCUUGAGUGCUGGAGAGGAAAGUGGAAUUCCUAGUGUAGCGGUGAAAUGCGUAGAUAUUAGGAGGAACACCAGUGGCGAAGGCGGCUUUCUGGACUGAAACUGACGCUGAGGCACGAAAGCGUGGGGAGCGAACAGGAUUAGAUACCCCAGUA